UACGAAGGGGGCUAGCGUUGCUCGGAAUCACUGGGCGUAAAGCGCACGUAGGCGGAUUGCUAAGUCAGGGGUGAAAUCCUGGAGCUCAACUCCAGAACUGCCUUUGAUACUGGCAACCUUGAGUCCGGGAGAGGUGAGUGGAACUGCGAGUGUAGAGGUGAAAUUCGUAGAUAUUCGCAAGAACACCAGUGGCGAAGGCGGCUCACUGGCCCGGUACUGACGCUGAGGUGCGAAGGCGUGGGGAGCAAACAGG
rnacentral:rRNA from 1 species